rnacentral:rRNA from 1 species
ACGGGUGCGUAACGCGUGGGAAUCUGCCCUCUGGUUCGGAAUAACUCAGGGAAACUUGAGCUAAUACCGGAUAAUGUCUUCGGACCAAAGAUUUAUCGCCUGAGGAUGAGCCCGCGUCGGAUUAGCUAGUUGGUGGGGUAAAAGCCUACCAAGGCGACGAUCCGUAGCUGGUCUGAGAGGAUGAUCAGCCACACUGGGACUGAGACACGGCCCAGACUCCUACGGGAGGCAGCAGUAGGGAAUAUUGGACAAUGGGCGAAAGCCUGAUCCAGCAAUGCCGCGUGAGUGAUGAAGGCCUUAGGGUUGUAAAGCUCUUUUACCCGGGAUGAUAAUGACAGUACCGGGAGAAUAAGCCCCGGCUAACUCCGUGCCAACAGCCGCGGUAAUACGGAGGGGGCUAGCGUUGUUCGGAAUUACUGGGCGUAAAGCGCACGUAGGCGGCUUUGCAAGUCAGAGGUGAAAGCCCGGGGCUCAACCCCGGAAUUGCCUUUGAGACUGCAUCGCUAGAAUUGUGGAGAGGUAAGUGGAAUUCCGAGUGUAGAGGUGUAAUUCGUAGA